rnacentral:rRNA from 1 species
GAUGAACGCUGGCGGCGUGCCUAAUACAUGCAAGUCGAACGAAACUUCUUUAUCACCGAGUGCUUGCACUCACCGAUAAAGAGUUGAGUGGCGAACGGGUGAGUAACACGUGGGCAACCUGCCCAAAAGAGGGGGAUAACACUUGGAAACAGGUGCUAAUACCGCAUAACCAUAGUUACCGCAUGGUAACUAUGUAAAAGGUGGCUAUACUACCGCUUUUGGAUGGGCCCGCGGCGCAUUAGCUAGUUGGUAGGGUAAAGGCUUGCCAAGGCAAUGAUGCGUAGCCGAAUUGAGAGGUUGAUCGGCCACAUUGGGACUGAGACACGGCCCAAACUCCCACGGGAGGCAGCAGUAGGGAAUCUUCCACAAUGGGCGAAAGCCUGAUGGAGCAACGCCGCGUGGGUGAAGAAGGUCUUCGGAUCGUAAAACCCUGUUGUUAGAGAAGAAAGUGCGUGAGAGUAACUGUUCACGUUUCGACGGUAUCUAACCAGAAAGCCACGGCUAACUACGUG